rnacentral:rRNA from 1 species
GACGAACGCUGGCGGCGUGCUUAACACAUGCAAGUCGAACGGAAAGGCCCUGCUUUUGUGCGGUGCUCGAGUGGCGAACGGGUGAGUAACACGUGAGUAACCUGCCCUUGACUUUGGGAUAACUUCAGGAAACUGGGGCUAAUACCGGAUAGGAGCUCCUGCCGCAUGGUGGUGGUUGGAAAGUUUCGGCGGUUGGGGAUGGACUCGCGGCUUAUCAGCUUGUUGGUGGGGUAGUGGCCUACCAAGGCUUUGACGGGUAGCCGGCCUGAGAGGGUGACCGGCCACAUUGGGACUGAGAUACGGCCCAGACUCCUACGGGAGGCAGCAGUGGGGAAUAUUGCACAAUGGGCGGAAGCCUGAUGCAGCAACGCCGCGUGCGGGAUGACGGCCUUCGGGUUGUAAACCGCUUUCGCCUGUGACGAAGCGUGAGUGACGGUAAUGGGUAAAGAAGCACCGGCUAACUACGUG